UUACAUGCAAGGCCCUGCAACAAAUCUAACAACACAAACCUGUAUGUGUUUGGAUGUGAGACUAAAUGACCUGAGAAGCUGUGAGUGCCUGGACUUUGAUUGUAUGUCACGAAAAGAGGGUUGUGCGAACUUGAAGACAGUAUCUUUGCAACUGUCUGUAAUUGAUACAUUAAUAUUAACUUCUCUAUAAUUCUAACGUUGUCUCUGUUUCUGCUUCCUGAUGCAGGUUAAAGACAUGAUGAGAAGAUGGAGGACACACCUGGUGGUCCAGUUCCACCUCUGAUCCUCAUCAAACAGUUUGGUACUUGAUUGGUACCUGGAGGUCAAAGGAUCCUUUGUACAAAUAGUGAAGGCUCAAAGAAAAAGGAAGACAUUUAGGUGACUAAGGUGUGAACAUGGUGUCAAAGGCAGGUAAAGUCCUCCACCUGUAUGUUGAGGUGAGGUCUGUUGAUGAGGAGGAAGGGAAGGUGCCAGAGGAUCGGACCGGUCACCUGAUGCUCCCAUGCCCAGACGUCCUCCCUCACUCCCAGAGGAGCUCCACCCGCUCCAGCCCCAGCCGCAGUCCGGAUCUUUCUCCAGUCUCUCAGCACCAUACCGGGGUUGGAGGACACAGUUUAUCUUCUCCUAAGUCCUCCUCCAGGCACACAGUCAGCUUUCAACUUGCAAACCCUGAUGCAACAGGGUCUCCCACCCAGGUCCAGCGGCAGGAUGUGUCGUACGACAGUUUCGGUCAGCUGCUCAGUGUCCUUGCACCUGCAAUGACCAGUCCAGGCCAGCAUGGCUCACUUGGACCCCCCCGUCCCUCUGACAUGGAUCCCUACCAGGGGAGAGUGCUUAUCUCACCAUCUUCCACUUCAUCUGGGAGGCUGACUGUACCGUCCACACCCACCAACAACCGCUUGUCCUAUGAGGUCCCAGAGGUGGGGGGUGAGGAGGGGAAGACAUCUGUGGUGUCCUAUGGCUACAUAGAGAAGUCUAAUGUUCACAACUUCAGGGGGCGCCGUACCUCAGUGUGCCAAAGUGAGUUGGACCAUCCUCUGAACAGAAUGGAGGGGCAGCCGCUGCCCAACCAUCUCCGGAAGAGGCUGAGCGACCCAGUGUGGUACAAUGGUCAGUCCGGUCAGGGCGAACUUUACCCGAGUCACGCCUACCCGUCUCAGAAUCAGUCUCCACGGGGCUCACCUUACAUGCAGAGGGCUUCAGUGGACGCAGUUGCCAGAGAUGCCACCUACAGGGCCUUGGAGGAGUUUGGAUCCCCAGAACUCAGGCGUAGAUAUGCUGGUCACAGCCCAGAGAAUUGCAGCCCGACCCUGCCGCGGCACUACCAGUAUCCUCGCUGCCGGUCCUGGGGGGGGUCACCUGUCCUGCCCCGUAACACCCUCACCCUGCCGUCCAAGACCCAGCUCCUGGGGCUAGAUAAGGGCGCCUGCCGUGGUUCACUGAAUGGAUUACCUAGAAGUCCUGCCUCUGACCACCUAUGUGCCCAUUCUGGGUACUCCACCCACUCAGUGGCUCCACCCUCUCAUUUCCCGCCCCAGAGCUACCAGAGGCCAUGGGCAGGGGGCGAGAGCCCCAGGUUAUCCAGCAAGUUUCAUCCUCCUUUACCGGCAGGGAGACCCACAGACAUCCAACAUGAGAUGCCAGCAAACCAUUACCCCACCAGCAACCACUCUAGGACUGGCUACCAAGCUAUUGGAAGCCCCCAACACACAGUUAAUAGCAGCUAUAGUGCUCACAUCCCCAACACCAGCCAAAAUGCUGCAGACAGUAUACACUACAGUGCUAAUCAUAACUUGACAAACAAGACUCACUAUAAUUCGUCACGCUGCAGCAGUAGAGCCAGUGACACCGUCAGCCCAACCAAUGGAAGGAGAAGCGUCUCCCCAUCCUCAAAUGCUGAAAUGGCGUCCAAGUUGGCUGUGGAGGCUGCCAAACUGUCCACCAUCUUUGCAGACAGACGAACUCCCUCUCCAUCGUCGUCUCAAGCAGAGUCACUGAGGUCAGAGAGUCCAAAGACAGGAGGGCCAUUCCUGAGAGAAUCACAACCUUAUGCCACUCUUCACAGACAAAACUCCCCUGAGCCUUCGCAGGCUGACAAACAGAACCACAGAUCCAAAACAGACAAAGCAAUCCCUCAGACCAGACCGGGACGUGUCUCACCUCUUUUACCCCAGAAAGGCCUAUCUUUACCAGCGUCACCAGCCAUGCCUGCUAGGUUGCACCGUGCAGCCGCCUCUCAGUCACCAGUCCUGGACCCACGGCACCAACAUGGGUCAUCACUUACCAAGGACACGUCAUCCCUGCACCGCUACCAGCCACCACAGUUCACUGGGGACCGUCAAUCACCUGGCAUGGAGCUGAAGCAGUAUGAUCACCUCUUUGAUAGAUCACCAAGAGACAGCCCUGAACUCUCUAAGAGGCUUCUCUCCAGCCAAAACGCAGAGGCUCUGCCUGUGAGCUCGGCCUCCAGGCACCAGGAGUGGAGGGAGACCGCAUCAGUCCACCAGGGAGACAAACUCUGUGAAGAAAACUACAGACAGUCGAGAGUUCACCCUCCAAGCAAAGAGGAGUACCACAGCAAGGUUGGGGUAGAUAAAGGAGUAGAGAUGUUAGUUCAGGGGUACCAGACACCAGUUAUCAGCCUGUCCAAGGAUCAGAGAGAGGAGGUUCAAGAUCACAGCAUGGCUGCUGGGACGUCCUCUCAAAGCUCCAGUGGGGUAACAGGCAGCAUGGGAGACAGUUCCCCGCUGGAUCGAAACAGUCCGUCGCCUGAAACCUCAAGCCAGUCCAGCCAUGACACAGCAGACACCGGCUCAGGGAUACAGUCGGACAGCAGCUCAGCAGCGACUCCGUCCUCGAGAUCACAGAAGAUCGCCCAGGCCAAGUGGGAGUUCCUGUUUGGAGGGAAGAAGGAGGAGACUCGCUGCAGUAAAGGUACCGCAGGUAACAUUAUGACCGCGAUACCUCAAGAACGCUUUGAGGGAAUUCAAACGUCCACCAGAAUCAAAGGUCAAAGUUCACUGAGACCUCACAAAACACACUUUGGGCCAUUACUCAACAACUUCUAUAAUAAUUACAACAAAAUUACACUCAAAAACAUCCAGCAGGAUAAAAUGAUGACGUGAUGAUAUUCUUUAUCCAAAAGUAAAGAAGUGUUGUGGCUGUUAUUCACACCACAGUUUAGGACAGCAGGAGCAACAACUGUGAUUCUUCAUUUUUAAAUCACGUUUAGAUUAGAAAAAAGGAAAAAAUAAAUAA
ensembl:lncRNA